UUUGUCACCUUUUCAACACAUAUCUGGUGCACUAGUGCUUCUUUCAAAAAUAUCUCAGUAUUCGAUAAAUACAAAAUUUUUUCUCAAAUCCUAGUCGUACAAAGUGCAUUUAAUGGAAAAGACAAAUCACAAUAGACUAUAACUAACAUUCCCACUCUAUUUAAAUCAACUCCAUUCCUUUCAUUUCCAACUCAUCCACUCCUUUGCAAAACCUAAUCUACUGCACUUUCUCUCACUCUCGUUUCCAUUGUCUCAAAUGCUCUUUGUAAUAUUCAUUGAGUUCUCAUACUCUCAAUCAUCCAAACCAAUGAAACCACCACCCAAACCUCCAAAUCAUCGUCAUCAUCAUCAUCUUAUCCUAUCAUUGAACCAAGAUGGAUAUAAUAAUCAAACACUUUUUUCUUUCUGCAUAUUGAAAACUUACUUGCUUUAUGCAAGUAGUUCUCCCACCUAACCUACACCUUUCAAAAUCAUCGGACCUUACCUUACCCUAUCACCAUUUUUCUUCCCACUUCCUUGACCUCUUCUCUCUUCUUUUUUAGCAUCUUUCACUUACACCAUCUCUGUCGCGGUGAUAUUCUCUCUCAUUCUCCUUUCAUCCCUUUUCAUGUUUAUCAAAUAAGGGGGAGAUACACUACACAAUAGGAUAGAAUAGGAUAUCAUAGAAUUAGGAUGAGUCUCUAGAUUGUUAGAAGUUCAUGCAUAACAUUCUACACAUUCUUGUUAAUGCAACAUGUUUAUGUUUAUGUGUUUAAAUAAUAUCAGUCUUUUACAUAUGUUGUGCUCUGAUUAUUUAUCAUGCUUUGAUUAUUUGUUACCAUUGUCUUGAAAACUAACUCACAUCCAUAUAAGAUAAACCAAUAAUAAAAAAUUAUUUAUCAUGCACUAAUAAUAUCGUUCGGUCUCUAACAUAUCUCACUGUUAGAGACCGUUCGGCUUGUUCUUGUUCGGUUGUUUUUCUUUCUAAUGUGUUGUAGUUUCUGCAUUUUGAUCUAGUUAGCAAGUUGGUGUAAUAUCAUUCGGUUCCUAACACACUUCGUUGUUAGGAUCGUUCGGCUUCACUGUUAUGUACCGUUCGGUUUCCAACUCUUCGUCCCUACCUUUCUUUCCCUCCC
rnacentral:lncRNA from 1 species